AUCAGCUGAAGUUUGAUCAUCGUCACAACCACUAAAGGAAAUGACUUCUCCACCACUUGUUCCUUUCCACAUGCCAGAUCGUGGACGAUGGUCCUCCCAUAUAUACUGUCCACUCCUGUUGCAAACAAAGUAAGACAUAAUCAGAACAAGCAACUUUUAGUACUCUAAAAUUAUUUCAAACAAGAAAUACAAAGACAAUAUGGUAAAAGAAGAAAUGAAUAGCAGGCUAUAUAUUUAUCAAGACAAUAUAUCUAUGCUGAAAAAAAAAAUCAACCAAUACAUGGUCAGUCAUACAAAACUUCUAAUGAAAGAUAUUUAUGGAGUUAAUUGGGAACCAAAUAAUAUAGGGUGAGUGUUAUGGACUCUUUUCUAGUAUUUGAUUUAUUUUAGAAUUAGAUUGCUUUAUCAUUUAUUUUAGGAUUAGAAUGUUUUAUCUUAUCUCUUAGUUGUCUUAUUGAACUCCUAUCUUAGUAGAAUUGUGUUAAACAAUGACACUAUUCCCUUUAUAUAUUACUGGAAAAUCAGACAUAAAAUAAGCAGAUUUAUUUCAUCUAAAUUGAGAUCUGAAUUCUCUCUCAACGAGUUUAAAAGAUCAGAUCUCCCUUUAUUGAGCUCACAACAACAACAGAUCUCCCUUUAUUGAGCUCACAACAACAACAGAUCUCCCUUUAUUGAGCUCACAACAACAACAAUUAGACAAGGAAAGAAUCAAGGAAAACCAACGGUUUCAGCCUUGGACACUGAUUUUACUGGAAGCAGAUUUGUGACGCGAUCUAUAAUCCGGAACAGUAACAAAUUGGUAUCAGAGCCUAGCGCCAUGGGAGAUCAAAAUUAUCUACGGCAAAAAUUAGAAUCCCAUAUCAAACUCUCUGAAGAAAGUUACUAACAGCAACGUCAGGAACAAAGAGAGAUUCGAGGAUUACUUGAGACUAUAACUAAGCAAUUAACUUUGGCUCGAGAGGCUAAACAAAGGAGAACCAAGAUCCUGAAAUGGGAACAAGCAGCAACAACAACCAAUCAAAUUUUACAACUAAUCAAAUUUUACAAAGAGAACUGAAGAUUGGGUUGAUGUUAGUCCUGGAACUACAGUAGUGCCGCGCUAUACUAAGUUGGACUUUCCUACUUAUGAUAGCACAGAGGACCCACUGGGGUGGCUGAAUCGUUGUGAUCAAUUUUUCCACAAUCAAAGAACUGCAGAAGCUGGCAAAGUGGGACUUGCAACAUUUCACAUGAUUGGAGAAGCUCAAUUAUGGAUUUUUAAACCAGACUAGAAAGAAUCAAAAAUAACUUGGGACAACCUUAAAAACUAUUGCCACUUGCGCUUUGGACCUCCACUAAGAAGCAAUCCAAUUGAACACAAGUUCAACCUAUUUUUCAUACUAUUUUUAGCAUUAAAUUGAGUAUUUUUCUGACUAAUUUUGUAUUUUUUAUUAUAUUUCGCAGAAAAGUAAAAAGAAAAGAAGAUUUGAUAAAAAGUGAUUUAAAAGCGCUGAAAUUGACUUGAUCAGCGAUUUUGGGCAAAUCUAUUGGAUGAUCAUAUUGCAAGAAGCCAGGAAUGGCUCAAGCCCGCUACCUGACUUAACCAUUCUCAGAUGAUAGAUUUGACCAGUGAUUUGGGCAAAACUAUCGGAUGAUCAUACUACACAGAAGUCAGAAAUGGCUCAGGCCCGCAAACUAACUUAACCAUUCACAGAUGAUGGAUUCAACCAAUGAUUUGCCCAAACCAUAGGGCAAAUCAAUAGGCGGCACGGAAUUUGAUAGUGAGCAAAUCCAGAUUUGAAAAUAAAAGGACCAAAACACCUCAGUAAAAGCUGCGAGACCCACGCGAUUUCUCCUCCUUCAGUACGGCACCAAAUCAUCCUUAAAUCAAAGAGUUCUAUCAUUGGAAGAAACAUAUUGAAGGAAGGAGUCCUAAUGCAAAACAAAGUAGAAUUCUAUUCCCAAAAGGAUUUUGGUAGGGUUAAACACCUAUAUAAGCCAAUCAUUGAGGACAACCGCAUUUCUCUUCUGGAGCAUCAAGCCUUCAUCUUGAAUUCUCUCCUCUUUUAUAUUGUCUUUGAAAGCCAUAAGUGGCUAAACUCUUUAUUUCUAGUUGAAGUUAGAUACAUGAAUUGUGAGAUCUAGAUACAAUUGUU
rnacentral:lncRNA from 1 species